rnacentral:rRNA from 1 species
AAGUGUUCGGAUCGCGUCGACGUGGGCGGUUCGCUGCCGGUGACGUCGCGAGAAGUCCACUGAACCUUAUCAUUUAGAGGAAGGAGAAGUCGUAACAAGGUUUCCGUAGGUGAACCUGCGGAAGGAUCAUUGCCGAGAACCGAUGACCACUGGUGAACCAGCCCCACUUUGCUCGACCGUCCAUCGUGCGCGACACAGUGCCCUCGAUUUGAUGCAUUGGGAGCUGCUGGCUGCGAGCGACCGAACGGGCAGAAAACCAUCACGGCGCGGUUAGCGCCAAGGGCCCAUGGAAAAGGAUGGUGGAGCGCCAAAUGUUGUUCCGUGAAGGAAUGCUUGGGCGCCCGCUGUGCGCGAAAAGAAUCGAAAUACGACUCUCGGCAGCGGAUAUCUCGGCUCUCGCAUCGAUGAAGGACGUAGCGAAAUGCGAUACUUGGUGUGAAUUGCAGAAUCCAGUGAACCAUCGAGUCUUCGAACGCAAGUUGCGCCCGAGGCCAUUGGGCCAAGGGCACGCCUGCCUGGGCGUCUCGCCAUUCGCUGCCCCCCUCCCAAGCAAGGGGUGAGGUGGGAUGCGGACGAUUGGCCUCCCGUGUUGCCCUGGAUGUUGCGCGGCUGGCUGAAAGUCUUGCCAUGGCGUGCGGCGUGGCCCGACGAUUGGUGGUCUGGGUGUUUUUGCCCGAAAGUCGUCGUGACCUCUCUGCCGCGCGCGAGCGUGGAAGCUUGGGACCCCAGUUGCCCGUAGUGUCGGGGGAACGGACUGUGACCCCAGGUCAGGCGGGGCCACCCGCUGAGUUUAGCAUAUUAAUAAGCG